rnacentral:misc_RNA from 1 species
GUGGGGCGGAGCGGGCAGUUGGCUUCGCUGACGGCUGCGUUCAGUGCGGUCGUGUCUUCGCCUCUUCGUUUCCUGACGACCAGCUUUGCUGGGCUGUCGGUGGUGGUUAGUGGAAUGUACUGUGUGGGGCGGUAUGUCUCUGAUAUGGGGAUUCGCCGGGAUGUUGUGAAGAUUGCUGUGGAGAGUCUGGUUGCAGAGUCGGCAGCCAGGCGGUCUGAGAGUGUAGUUGCAGAGUCGG